CAGCAGCAGUGAUGAAUUAGAACAUAAUAUGAAAAUUGAUGUCGAAUAUUUAAAAAAUUGUCCUGUUUAUGAUAUAGAAGAAUAUUUAUUGAACUUUUUGUCAGAAUGGAGUGUUCGAGAUGUAUCAUUUAACAAAAUGGAUAAGCUUUUAGCAGGAUUGCGAGUUAUUUUUCCUGGUUUGCCAAAAUCAUAUAAAACAUUUCUUCGUACUCCUCGUACUAUAAAUGUUAAUGAAGUUGGUCAAGACCUAAUGUGGUAUAAAAGUAUUAAAGUGAAUCUUAAUGAAAUAUUAACCGAUAAUUAUCUACAAAAUAAUAAUCAAAUUGUAGUAGACAUUAAUAUUGAUGGCGUCCAAUUAUAUAAAAGUACAGAUGAUCAAUUUUGGCCCAUUUUAGGUUGUCUGAAGGGUGAAAGAUUUCCUUUUAUAAUUGGUGUGUGGUAUGGACAUUCAAAGCCCGAUGAUUUAGAAAGAUAUUUACCUGAUUUUAUUGAAGAAAUUAAAAAUUUGACUAGAAAUAGUUAUAAUUUCUAUGGAAAAAAUAUUGUUUUUAAAUUAGGCAAUUAUAUUUUAGAUGCUCCAGCUAGACAAUUUGUCAAAGGCAUUCACAGUCAUAACAGUGUAUUUGAUCGUGAAAAGUGUACAAUUAAAAGUGAUAGACAUAUAAAUUGUCAGGUGUUUUUAUAUGAUAAUACACCUCUACGUACUGAUGAAUCAUUUCAAAAUAGAGAUCAACCAGAACAUCACAAGUAUAAUUCACCUUUAGAACGUGAUUUGCAACAUGGAAUGGUGUCUAUGUUUAGACUUGAUCCGAUGCAUCUAUAUCUAGGAGUUUUUAAACGGUGGCUACAGUUUCUUUUUGGAGUACAUGUAACAACAAUAGGCAAAAUUAAUAACGCAGCUAAAUCUCAAUUGUCUCUGGAAAUGUUACGAUAUAGUUCUUGGGUGUCUACGGAAUUUAAUCAUCGAUCUCGAUCUUUCUGUGAAUUAUCUAAAUAUAAAGCAACAGAACUGCGACGUAUCUUAUUAUACGAUGGUGUACGAAUUUUUAAGAACAUUCUGCCUUCAAAUCUGUAUAACAAUUACUUACUUCUACAUAGUGGAAUAUAUAUACUAUCUAGUCCAAGUACAGUACAGAAUCCUGUUAUGCUUGAUGCUGCGCAUGAAAUUUUAAAAGAAUUUAUAAAUCACUCUUCUCAGAUUUUUGGUAAAUGUUUUGUUGUUUAUAAUAUCCAUUGUCUGAUUCAUUUAGUUGACGAAUGUCGAAACCAUGGAAUUUUAGAAUCAUUCAGUGCUUUUAAAUAUGAAAAUUUUAUGAGCGUUAUGAAACGAUAUUUGAGAUCUACUUACAAGCCUUUACACCAAUUAAUUAGACGUGAUGCAGAAACUAAAGGGCAACUUGUUCCAAGGAAAAAUAUAGAUAAACCAAAUAAAAUUUUGUUGAAAAAUCAGUAUGAUGGAGAUGACAGUAUUCAGGGAGAACAGUUUCAGACUGUCAUUUUAUGUGGUAUUACUCUUACAAAGAACAAGGCAAACAGUUGUUUUAAAACUAAAAAUGGAGAUGUUAUAAUCUUAGAUAAUGUUAUCCGAACACCCCAAAAUAAAAUUAUCUUAAUGGGAUAUAGGUUUCUAAAACAAGAAAAUUAUUACAAUUUUCCUAUCGCAUCAUCUGAACUUGGAAUUAUAAAAGUUUCUCGUUUACAAAAUCACAAAACUGCUUUCAAAAUUAAACAUUUUUUUUGUAAAUGUGUUUUUUUUCCUGAUAACGACGAAGCAUAUGUGUGCAUUCCUCUUGUACACUGCAAUAAUUACUAGAAUAAAAGUAAGAACAUUUUUUUUAUUCUACAAAUUAUAUUCUUUUACAACGUAACGUUUUCUUUUUUUAAGUUUGCAGUUGUAGAAUUUGAUGAUUCAUGUGAUGAAUCUCAAACACUAAUAGAAGUAAUUCCUUUCAAAUGGCUGUUUGAUAAUAAUACUAAGUGCAAAUAUCCAUCUAAAAAAGAUCAACUUAAAACGACUCGUCUAGCUAUGUCAAAAAUGGAUCCUGGAAAAGAUUGGAAUACUUAUAAUCUUAGAUUUCAUCAUUACUACAGUAAGUUUAAUUUUCGAAGAUAAGUUAUCAUAAAUUUGCGUUUAAAUAUUGAGUUCUUUAGUGUUAAUGUACUUAAAACGUAAAACGUACUUAAAACAUAAAUUACAUUUCUUUUCAUUAAUAAAUUAAUAAAUUUCAGUAUCAUGUGUAUUUAUGUUAUAUUUUAUUUUAUACAUUUUUUUUCACUUGUAGGUACUUACAAUAUUGCUGUCAAAGCUGCUAAGAAUGUUCUAGAGGGAAACGUUGCUCGGACAGAAGUAGAAACAGAUUAUGAUCAACCAAGAAAGAGAAAAAAGAACAAGAAAUAUAUAGAAUCUUCAGAUGAAGAUGAAGACAAUCUUCCGUCAAACAUCUUUUGUAGUGCUAGCAAUAAAGUGCCUGCACCAAAUCCUCUUCUUCCAAAUAAAAUAAAAACACUUUUUAAAAAUAAAUCUAUGAAAACGUCAAUGAUAUGUCAAAAAGACACGUCUGUUGGGAAAUUAUUUUCCCGUAAAGAGUCACGUGUUACAUCUUUGAGUCCUUCUAAGUUAACUUAUAAAACUACGUUAGACGAAAAUCCGAUGAAGCAUCAUUCUAUGCUGGAAGAGAGUAUGUAUAUGUUUUCAAGUAAAUUUGUAUUUAUUAUUUUAUGUAACUUAUUUUUAUAUUUUAAAUAUUCUAAUUUAAACUAUAAACAGUCUUUUUUAUAGUUUUAUAAUUUUAUAGCUUUUUUUAUAAUUUUAGCUGUACAACAAAGAGAUUUAGUUCCUGAAGACUGCAACACCAAAAUGUCGGAAAAUUUUGGAACUGCUAAUCCAUUGCAAUCAAAAAAGACCACGCCUGUCAGAAAAUUUAACAGAAUGCCUCAAUAUUUAGACAAAGAAAACUAUGAUGAUUCUUUUGAUAGUAAGUUUAUUACUUUUCAAAUAAUAGAUUUUUUAGAUUUUACAACUAAUUAUAUUUCCUGUUUUCUUUUAUUGUGAAUUUAUUUUCUGCAAUGUUACAGUUUCUGAAAAAUGCUCAUCUUCUCAAUUAACUAUAGAUAGUAAUGAACUGCAAUCUAUAUCGGACAGUUCUUCAGUAUCAAGCCUACUAUCUGUACGUAAUCUCGUAGAAAAAAAACAAAGUAUUUUGCACCCAAAGAAUGUUAACAGAACAAAGUUAUCUUUAGCCUUCAAAGAUGGUAAAUUCAUUAUUAUCUGUCUACUUUUCCUAAAAUUAAAUUACAUUUUUAUCACAUUUUUUUACGUGCGCUUAUAUUUAAAUUUGUAUUAAUCCUUUGCAGAUACAAUCUUUCUCUCUCUCUCUCUCUCUCUCUCUCUCUCUCUCUCUUUCAAGUUACUCGUACAUGUUACUUAGUUACAUAGUUUCUCUUUGUUUAAAUUAAAAUUUUAUAAAUGUGAAAUAAUUUGUUUUUUCUUUUCUUUGUAUGUGUUAUGUUAUCUUACUCAAUAAAUAUUGCUUACAAUAAAUAAAAGUAACAAUUCUAAUUUUUAUAUAGAUGAUAAAAAUGACAAUGAACAGUACAAGAAUUUUAAUACAAUACACUCCGAAACUUUAAAAGAAAAGAGUGAAGAUGACGUUUUAAAAGUAGAAAGGACCAUACUAUCUACGAACAACGAGAAUGAAGUAUUUCCAAAAAUCACCACUAUUUCAAGGUUUGAUUUUUCCAGAUAAUCUUAGUUUCGAGAAAUGAUUUUUUCUGCACACAUACCACAUUCUUUUCCUUAAUUUAUAUUUUACAUUUAUUAGGUUUAUCAAAUGCAGAUCGUGACUUGCUUACGACAACAUUAAGCCAUUUAAAGAAGCUUCAUGGUAAUUUUUAUUGAACUUCUUUGUUUUAAUACAUAUAACUGUGCAAUAUUAACAUAUGUUACACUUUGUAAUUAUUAAUUUAUUUCCGUUUUUCCAUUAAUUCUGUAGGACCGGUUGUAUCUAAUCUUGAUAGAGAUUUGCUUCGAAAUGUGUCAAGUAAACUUGAUAUAGUAUUAAUGAACCAACGUCGCAUUUUAAAUGAAAUAUUUCCUGGUGAAGCUAUUUUAGAUAGACCCGAAAAUUGUCCCCCUUUUCCAUUACGAGAUGAGAAGUCUUUUGAGGAAUUCAACGAAUUUUUGGAAAAUAAAGUUGCAUUUUCUCAAUUUGUUAGCUAUCUUAAUGCACUUUUUAAUGAUUGUGAUCAGUGGAAUGCUGUUACUCGUCUUAUGUCUAACAUAUUGCACAAUGAACUUGCAAGACAAGUUAGUUGGAAAGGAACCAGAGGAGUGAAAAUUUUUUUUUACGGAACAAGAAUUAAGGAAGCUUUGUUUUGUAAAUGUUUUACGUUUAUCUUUUCUUUUACUUAUUUAAAAUAUUGAGACACUGAUUAUAAAUUAUUAUAUUAAAUUAUAAGAAGCAAGAAAUAAUUUAAAAUCACAUUUUUCAUUUCUUUGUUUGGCAAAUUUUUAAAUAAAUUAAUUUUGAUGAUGUACUAUUAUUUGUUUAUAAUAGAAAGAAUAUUUUAGUAAAACGUAUUAAAACUUGUUUCUGUAUUCGUAUAAUAUAUGAUUACAAAUUGUGAUCAGUAUACGAUUUAUUUUCAUUAAAUAUGUAUAACAUUCAAUUAUUUUAACAAAUUAUUGUAUUUUAUAUAAUAUUUAAUUAUUGUAUAUAACAUUGAAUACAAAUUUUGUGUGUGCAUCUGUACAGAUUUCUUUACUAAGAAAAUAGAAAAAUAAAUUAUCUUUGCUACAUUUUACUAACGUG
rnacentral:misc_RNA from 1 species